AUUGUUGUAACCUAAGGAUCAAACCUGGGUAUUUGUGUUUUCGUUGAUAGAAAAAAUGAUGGCUUCCUGCUUGAGGGUGAAGGAUGGAACUGGUAAGAAGUUGGGAGAGAAGAGAGUUUGGAAGCUCCAUUUUCUCAGUGAGUUUAAUUUGUCCUUUGACUCUGCUAUCAGCCACUGUUUUCCUGGGGAGAGACGCUGUUAG
rnacentral:lncRNA from 1 species